CCAUCGAGUCUUUGAACGCAAGUUGCGCCCCAAGCCUUCUGGCCGAGGGCACGUCUGCCUGGGUGUCACAAAUCGUCGUCCCUCUUCAUCCAUUGCGGAGAUGGGACGGAAACUGGUCUCCCGUGUGUUACCGCACGCGGUUGGCCAAAAUUCGAGCCAAGGAUGCUGGGAGCGUCCCGACAUGCGGUGGUGAACUCAAAACCUUCAUACCGUCGAUCGCUCCUGUCCGAAAGCUCUAGAUGACCCAAAGUCUUCAAAGCGACCCCAGGUCAGGCGGGAUCACCCGCUGAGUUUAAGCAUAUCAAUAAGCGGAGGA
rnacentral:rRNA from 2 species